GCCCCGCGAGGGGAGCCCUAGCACAGGUGCUGCAUGGCCGUCGUCAGCUCGUGCCGUGAGGGUGUUCGGGUUAAGUCCCGCAACGAGCGCAACCCCCGCCGUUAGUUGCCAGCGGUUCGGCCGGGCACUCUAACGGGACUGCCCGCGAAAGCGGGAGGAAGGAGAGGACGACGUCUGGUCAGCAUGGCCCUUACGGCCUGGGCGACACACGUGCUACAAUGCCCACUACAAAGCGAUGCCACCCGGCAACGGGGAGCUAAUCGCAAAAAGGUGGGCCCAGUUCGGAUUGGGGUCUGCAACCCGACCCCAUGAAGCCGGAAUCGCUAGUAAUCGCGGAUCAGCCAUGCCGCGGUCGAAUACGUUCCCGGGCCUU
rnacentral:rRNA from 1 species